CGUUCAAAUUACAAAUGGCCGUGCCAUUAAGGUGAAAUGCAGCAGCUCAGAUCGGUCUGGGCUUCGGCUGCUCAGUCCUUGACUAGAGGAAAUGUGGAGUCCAGGGAGGAGUCGUUUCCCACACCCAGAAGAAGGGCUUUCGGCUGAUCUAACACAAACACUGCAGCCCUCAGGAAGGAAAGAGUUCCCAGACACCUCGCAGACUGAGUGACAUUGCAGGAAAUGGCGCUGUUGUCUGCUGAAGAAAAGCAGCGACGCUACAGGGCUCGUUGUGAUGCACUCCCUGAAAGAAGGCAGAUAUACCUCAGUAAAAAGAACGGGAGGUGGGGAAAGGACAUAAA